rnacentral:rRNA from 1 species
UACGUAGGGGGCGAGCGUUGUCCGGAUUUAUUGGGCGUAAAGAGCGUGUAGGCGGCCAGGUAGGUCUGCUGUGAAAACUCGAGGCUCAACCUCGAGACGUCGGCGGAAACCAUCUGGCUAGAGUCCGGAAGAGGAGAGUGGAAUUCCUGGUGUAGCGGUGAAAUGCGCAGAUAUCGGGAGGAACACCUAUGGCGAAGGCAGCUCGCUGGGACGUUACUGACGCUGAGACGCGAAAGCGUGGGGAGCAAACAGG